CCUACGGGUGGCAGCAGUGAGGAAUAUUGGUCAAUGGACGCAAGUCUGAACCAGCCAUGCCGCGUGCAGGAAGACGGCUCUAUGAGUUGUAAACUUCUUUUGUACGAGAGUAAACGCAGAUACGCGUAUCUGUUUGAAAGUAUCGUACGAAUAAGGAUCGGCUAACUCCGUGCCAGCAGCCGCGGUAAUACGGAGGAUUCAAGCGUUAUCCGGAUUUAUUGGGUUUAAAGGGUGCGUAGGCGGUCUGAUAAGUUAGAGGUGAAAUCCCGAGGCUCAACUUCGGAAUUGCAACUGAUACUGGUCGGCUAGAGAGUAGUUGAGGUAGGCGGAAUGUAUGGUGUAGCGGUGAAAUGCUUAGAGAUCAUAAAGAACACCGAUUGCGAAGGCAGCUUACCAAGCUACUACUGACGUUGAGGCACGAAAGCGUGGGGAGCAAACAGGAUUAGAUACCCCAGUAGUC
rnacentral:rRNA from 1 species